UACAGAGGUCUCAAGCGUUGUUCGGAUUCAUUGGGCGUAAAGGGUGCGUAGGCGGCGCGGUAAGUCGGGUGUGAAAUCUCGGAGCUUAACUCCGAAACUGCAUUCGAUACUGCCGUGCUUGAGGACUGGAGAGGAGACUGGAAUUUACGGUGUAGCGGCGAAAUGCGUAGAUAUCGUAAGGAAGACCAGUGGCGAAGGCGGGUCUCUGGACAGUUCCUGACGCUGAGGCACGAAGGUCAGGGGGAGCAAACAGG
rnacentral:rRNA from 1 species